rnacentral:rRNA from 1 species
CCAGACUCCUACGGGAGGCAGCAGUGAGGAAUAUUGGUCAAUGGGCGGAAGCCUGAACCAGCCAAGUCGCGUGAGGGACUAAGGCCCUGCGGGUCGUAAACCUCUUUUGCCGGGGAGCAGUGGUCCGGACGCGUCCGGACCGGGAGAGUACCCGGAGAAAAAGCAUCGGCUAACUCCGUGCCAGCAGCCGCGGUAAUACGGAGGAUGCGAGCGUUAUCCGGAUUUAUUGGGUUUAAAGGGUGCGUAGGCGGACUGGAAAGUCAGCGGUAAAAUCGAGAGGCUCAACCUCUUUCCGCCGUUGAAACUGUCGGUCUUGAGUGGGCGAGAAGUAUGCGGAAUGCGUGGUGUAGCGGUGAAAUGCAUAGAUAUCACGCAGAACUCCGAUUGCGAAGGCAGCAUACCGGCGCCCGACUGACGCUGAGGCACGAAAGCGUGGGUAUCGAACAGGAUUAGAUACCCGGGUACUA